CGGGGAUUGGCUGCCUACUUUCUAGCCCCGGCCUCUGGCUGGGUCUCUGGUGUUCGCGGGCUUUUGUGUCUCGCGGAGUGCGGCGGGCGCGGUCGCAGUGGCGGCUGCUUUGCGGCGGGUUCGGGGCCCGGCCCGCCUGCGAAUGCGGGAGCCCGACCCGGGGCCUGCGGAGUCGGUCUCCGACGUGUGCGGGGCUGCAGCGGCCUGACUUACAGGCUCAGGUAUGUCCCCGUCCUGGAGGGAAAAGCGAGGCGCUCGGCCCGGAGCACGUGGCCAAUGGCGACCGGGGGUUCCCACGUGCUUGGUUCCAAGGCCCCCCAAUUGGCUGCCCCUUCGGAUAGAGGGCAUGUAAGUUCCCGGCUCCCCCACCCCCCGCAGGACAACUGCUUCCGGUGGGUUUUCCGACUUGGCCCUGGAAACCGCUGAGGUUCAGGGGGUGUUGUCGGGAGAGGAGAGCAGGGGUCGCGGAGAAGCCUGUAAAACCCCAGACCGCCCUUUCUGUGCCCUUUUAAGGUUGACGCAGUGCCUUAAGAGGCUAACACAGAAGGGUAAAGUAAGUCUCCAUAAAACCCAGGGAUGAGACUGUAAAACUCCUCUCUGGAUCCUGUCUGGAGUCACAGCGGAACCAGAGGAAAUUUUUCUUUCGGUUCAAGCACCCUUGUGAUAUUUUAACACAUCUCAGAGCACAAAUGGUGGAUUCAAACUUAACAUUGAUGGUACUUUCAGUUCAAGUGUUGGUAUUUAUCACUGAAGAAGGAACAACCUAUGAGAGUGAGACUGUAAAUUGAGAACAUCUGAAGACACUGGCUCACAAAGGUCAUAAAGCUUCUGGAGCCACACCUCACUGGGUAGAAACAACAGGUCCAGAAUACUUGAAAUUGACCCGUUUUUGGUCACCCCAUGUAGAAAAUGAAUUUAAAAUUUUGUAUGUCUUGUCUAUUGUUCGAUGUGAGCACCGUUACAUUUUUCUAGACUUAGUUUGCUAUACCCUAAGAUUAUGAAAAUACUUACUAACCAGCAUUUUCUGGCUUCUGUAAUCUUGCUUGCUUAACACAUUCCUCCCCUUCCCCCUUCCCCUUUUUUUCUCCCGCCACAAGUAACGGACAAAGCCUUCCCGCCAAAGGACAGACAAAGGACGCCCAAUCAGAGAACAACAAAUGUCCUUACUUUAAAAUCAACUAAUCAGGCCCCCCAUAAUCUGAAACCUCCCCUAUGCUAUUUGUCUCUGUCUAUAAAAACGCUGUACCAACCCUGAUCGGGGCCUCUUAGCGUCACUGGCAACGAGUGCGCGGAGGUCCAGGUUCGAACCUGCAAUAAACGACCCUUGCCGCUUG